rnacentral:rRNA from 1 species
ACAUGCAAGUCGAACGAAGUAGCAAUACUUAGUGGCAGACGGGUGAGUAACAUGUAGGUAUCUGCCCUUUGGCCUGGAAUAACACGAGGAAACUUGUGCUAAUACCGGAUAAGUCUUUACGGAGAAAGCUUUAUGCACCAUUGGAUGAGCCUGCACUUGAUUAGUUUGUUGGUGGGGUAAUGGCCUACCAAGACUGUGAUCAAUAGCUGAUUUGAGAGGAUGAUCAGCCACAUUGGGACUGAGACACGGCCCAAACUCCUACGGGAGGCAGCAGUGGGGAAUCUUGCACAAUGGAGGAAACUCUGAUGCAGCGAUGCCGCGUGAGUGAAGAAGGCCUUUGGGUUGUAAAGCUCUUUCGUCGGGGAAGAAAAUGACUGUACCCGAAUAAGAAGGUCCGG